GAACUUUUGAAGAAUGUUUUGGGUUGUCGAAUGAUGUCAUCCAAUUCAAUAAAACAAGGAAAAUCUGAGAGUUAACUAGUGAUGUCACGGUUAAUUUGGAGCAUUGUCAUUUAUAAUUCAAUGAAGUAGUAACUAGAAAUCGAGUUAUUUGCAUACGUGUCAUGUGUGGAGAAAAAGCCUCUAGCUAUCCCAUCCAUCAUCUUAUUUCUCACAUUCGUUUUACAAUCUGUCUAGUUUUUCAUACUUGUUUGUUUGUUACAACUUCAUCCAAAUCAAAACCCCCCUUUUAGUUUCUUGUUUCAAAAUGUUUCAAAUCUGUUUUAGUUUGUGUUUUUAAGUGUUUUGAUUCAUGUAAAAGUUAAUUUUCGUCCAAAGUCAUUCCUAGUGUCUAGUUUAAGUUUAUUUGGUUGUUUUAAGUUAUUUUGAGUAUUUUAAGUUUGCUUUGAGUCUUGUGAGUCUUAUUAAAUUUAGUUUUAUGUUUUUGAGUCAGUUUAGAGGUUAUUAGCAAGCCUUCCUAAUCCCCGGUCCAGAACGAUCCCUACUUAUACUUGUACUACAAUUGUCAAAAGAGGUUAAAUUUGUGUGUUAAGUUAAUUUUUGCAUCAGUUUCGAACUAAUUUCAUUUUCCUAGGGCUACAAUUUAGCCUAACCAUGAAUUCUUGAAACUUCAGUUUUAUUAUUUAUGAAUUUUCAUUCACUUUGAGUAUCAUUUUGCUAUGCUUUUGAGCUUGAUUUCAGUGAUUAGCCACCACUUUAAUUUGAAUUGAGUGUAUAUGAUGUGAGUAACGCAUAUGCCAUGUUGUUAAUUCGAUUGUAGCGUCUUGCAAAUGGUACCAUGAAUUCCUUGAUGUAGAUGCCAUACACUAGGUUUCAUGUGGUCCCUUAGUUCCCAAAUUGUAGUGAAUUCGUAUGUGUUUAGUAAUCUAGAUGUCAUAGAUUGUUAACACAUAGAAGUAUACGUGGUAAUCUGGAUGCCAUGGAUACUAUAUGAAUUAGAGGAAUUAGACCAUCAAGAUGGAUGUUUAUUUGUUAAUGAUUAACUAUUCGAAUAAGUUGGACUGGUUAUGGUAAAUCAGAUGCUCUAGUGUUUUUUUGCAUUUGAUUGUUCACGUCACUUAUUUAGUCUCAUUUGAUUUUUAUUUACAUUUACAAUUUCAAAGUUCUUUCUCAAAUCAUCAAUCUUUCAAUUCCAAUUCAAGUGCAAUUUAAAUUUAAGUUAGAUAAUUAGAAUUAUAUCAAUCUUAAUUGGAAUGAUCAUGUGCGUGCCUACUAUUCUACUUUACAAUUCGUACACUUGCGAGCAUUAAAAUUUGAACUUAAUUAAGUUAAUUUCAGUUAAUCUAAUUUUGGCAACAACAAUCGGCGCCACCUUUAGUUAGUCUUAACCGCAUUAGAGCAGUAGAAUCAAGCAACCGAUGAGAUACACUACGACGUGCUUGCUGGCUGCUACCUUUGAUUAGAGGCGAGUGGGGUUAAUGUUUAUAGUGGCCUAUCUUAGGGUUCAAAACCAACACGGCUGGAUGUGCGCAUUCAUUUGUGGUAUCUAAGUUUGGGCCUCCAGUUCCUGAUGUCUGGUUUCGUCAAGGAAGUGUUGGCACAUUACAGCUUGCACCCAUUAACCUUACCCCCACUGACUCUAGAGUUAUGCAUGCCUUUGAUAGGCUAAAUAGGAUUUAUAAGAUUGAGCUGGGCCUCUGCGAAUUUCAAGCCUUAUACCUACUGAAGAGUUUAUCCGCGAGUCUGAUGCGAAAAUUAUCUUAACACAUAAAUUUAACCCUCUUUUGACAAUUGUAGUACAAGUAUAAGUAGGGAUCGUUCUGGACCGGGGAUUAGGAGGGCUUGCUAAUAACCUUUGAACUGACUCAAAAACAUAAAACUAAACUUAAAAACACUUAACAAGACUCACAAGACUCAAAGCAAACUUAAAAUACUCAAAACAGCUUAAAACAACAAAAUAAACUUAAACUAGACACUAGGAAUGACUUUGGACUAAAAUUGACUUUUACUUGAAUCAAAACACUUAAAAACACAAACUAAAACAGAUUUGAAACACUUUGAAACAAGAAACUAAAAUGGGGGUUUUGAUUUGGAUGAAGUUGAAACAAACAAACAAACAAGUAUGAAAAACUAGACAGAUUGUAAAAUGAAUGUGAGAAAUAAGAUGAUGGAUGGGAUAGCUAGAGGUUUUUUCUCUACACAUGGCAUGUAUGCAAAUAACUUGAUUUCCAGUUACUACUUCAUUGAAUUAUGAAUGACAAUGCUCCAAAUUAACCGUAACAUCACUAGUUAACUCUCAGAUUUUCCUUGUUUUAUUGGAUUGGAUGACAUCAUUCGACA
rnacentral:lncRNA from 1 species